UGUUGAGGGCGGCCUGCUGGGUGGCCAUCAGCUGGGGACAGCGCUGCAGGUUCUGCAGCACAUGGGGGUCUGCAGCCAUGAUGCUGGACGCAUCCAUGUCACACACCAGGACCCCAAGGAGCAGCAGGUCGGAGGUGCUGAGGCUCGGGCGGGGCCCUCCCUGCAGGACAGCAGGGACUGGUGACGCUUGGGUCAGCUGUGGGUCCAGGUGGGCUCAGCUGACCCCUCUCACAGCCCAGGUGGAGGAGAGGCCAGCAGGCUGGAAGACCCCUCGUCCUCGGGGAGCCCGGAGGAUUGGCCACAGGUGCCAGAUGGAGGCCAGGCCUGCCAAGGAAUCUGCUGCGGAAACUUGAUUGUGACUCCGAACCUGCACUCACCUGGCCCACAGGUUGGCC